rnacentral:rRNA from 1 species
GUUGUAUGGUUAAGUGACUAAGCGUACACGGUGGAUGCCUUGGCAGUCAGAGGCGAUGAAAGACGUAGUAACUUGCGAUAAGCCCAGAUUAGGUAGUAACAACCAUUUGAGUCUGGGAUUUCUGAAUGGGGAAACCCACGUGCAUAAGCACGUAUCCUUACCUGAAUACAUAGGGUAAGGAGGCGAACCGGGGGAACUGAAACAUCUAAGUACCCCGAGGAAAAGAAAUCAACCGAGAUUCCGAAAGUAGCGGCGAGCGAAAUUGGACUAGCCCUUAAGCUUUACACGCGUUAGACGAACGGUCUGGAAAGUCCGACGAUACAGGGUGAUAGUCCCGUAGUUGACGACGUGUGUUCAGUGAAAUCGAGUAGGGCGGGACACGUGAUAUCCUGUCUGAAUAUGGGGGGACCAUCCUCCAAGGCUAAAUACUACUGACUGACCGAUAGUGAACCAGUACCGUGAGGGAAAGGCGAAAAGAACCCCUGUGAGGGGAGUGAAAUAGAACCUGAAACCGUGUACGUACAAGCAGUAGGAGCAGGCUUUGUCCUGUGACUGCGUACCUUUUGUAUAAUGGGUCAGCGACUUAUAUUCAGUGGCAAGGUUAACCAUCUAGGGGAGCCGUAGGGAAACCGAGUCUUAACUGGGCGUUCAGUCUCUGGAUAUAGACCCGAAACCAGGUGAUCUAGCCAUGGGCAGGUUGAAGGUUGAGUAACAUCAACUGGAGGACCGAACCGACUAAUGUUGAAAAAUUAGCGGAUGACUUGUGGCUAGGGGUGAAAGGCCAAUCAAACCUGGAGAUAGCUGGUUCUCCCCGAAAGCUAUUUAGGUAGCGCCUCGGACGAAUACUACUGGGGGUAGAGCACUGUUAAGGCUAGGGGGUCAUCCCGACUUACCAACCCUUUGCAAACUCCGAAUACCAGUAAGUACUAUCCGGGAGACACACGGCGGGUGCUAACGUCCGUCGUGGAGAGGGAAACAACCCAGACCGCCAGCUAAGGUCCCAAAUUACUACUAAGUGGGAAACGAUGUGGGAAGGCUCAGACAGCCAGGAUGUUGGCUUAGAAGCAGCCAUCAUUUAAAGAAAGCGUAAUAGCUCACUGGUCGAGUCGGCCUGCGCGGAAGAUGUAACGGGGCUAAGUAGUAAACCGAAGCUGCGGCAAUAUACUUUUGUAUAUUGGGUAGGGGAGCGUUCUGUAAGCGGUUGAAGGUGUGUGGUAACGCAUGCUGGACGUAUCAGAAGUGCGAAUGCUGACAUGAGUAACGAUAAAGGGGGUGAAAAACCUCCUCGCCGGAAGACCAAGGGUUCCUGUCCAACGUUAAUCGGGGCAGGGUAAGUCGACCCCUAAGGCGAGGCCGAAAGGCGUAGUCGAUGGGAAACGGGUUAAUAUUCCCGUACUUCUUACAAUUGCGAUGGGGGGACGGAGAAGGCUAGGUGGGCCUGGCGACGGUUGUCCAGGUUCAAGUGCGUAGGCUUAAGAGUUAGGUAAAUCCGGCUCUUUUUAAGGCUGAGACACGACGUCGAGCCACUACGGUGGUGAAGUCAUUGAUGCCAUGCUUCCAGGAAAAGCCUCUAAGCUUCAGAUUGUAAGGAAUCGUACCCCAAACCGACACAGGUGGUCGGGUAGAGAAUACCAAGGCGCUUGAGAGAACUCGGGUGAAGGAACUAGGCAAAAUGGUACCGUAACUUCGGGAGAAGGUACGCUCUUGAUGGUGAAGUCCCUCGCGGAUGGAGCUGACGAGAGUCGCAGAUACCAGGUGGCUGCAACUGUUUAUUAAAAACACAGCACUGUGCAAAAUCGUAAGAUGACGUAUACGGUGUGACGCCUGCCCGGUGCCGGAAGGUUAAUUGAUGGGGUUAGACUUCGGUCGAAGCUCUUGAUCGAAGCCCCGGUAAACGGCGGCCGUAACUAUAACGGUCCUAAGGUAGCGAAAUUCCUUGUCGGGUAAGUUCCGACCUGCACGAAUGGCGUAAUGAUGGCCACGCUGUCUCCACCCGAGACUCAGUGAAAUUGAAAUCGCUGUGAAGAUGCAGUGUACCCGCGGCUAGACGGAAAGACCCCGUGAACCUUUACUACAGCUUGGCACUGAACAUUGACCCUACAUGUGUAGGAUAGGUGGGAGGCUUUGAAGCACGUACGCCAGUAUGUGUGGAGCCGUCCUUGAAAUACCACCCUUGUAGUGUUGAUGUUCUAACGUCGACCCCUUAUCGGGGUUGCGGACAGUGCCUGGUGGGUAGUUUGACUGGGGCGGUCUCCUCCCAAAGAGUAACGGAGGAGCACGAAGGUGGGCUAAUCACGGUUGGACAUCGUGAGGUUAGUGCAAUGGCAUAAGCCCGCUUGACUGCGAGAAUGACAAUUCGAGCAGGUGCGAAAGCAGGUCAUAGUGAUCCGGUGGUUCUGAAUGGAAGGGCCAUCGCUCAACGGAUAAAAGGUACUCCGGGGAUAACAGGCUGAUACCGCCCAAGAGUUCAUAUCGACGGCGGUGUUUGGCACCUCGAUGUCGGCUCAUCACAUCCUGGGGCUGAAGUCGGUCCCAAGGGUAUGGCUGUUCGCCAUUUAAAGUGGUACGCGAGCUGGGUUUAGAACGUCGUGAGACAGUUCGGUCCCUAUCUGCCGUGGGCGUUGGAAGAUUGAAGGGGGCUGCUCCUAGUACGAGAGGACCGGAGUGGACGAACCUCUGGUGUUCGGGUUGUGUCGCCAGACGCAUUGCCCGGUAGCUAAGUUCGGAAUCGAUAACCGCUGAAAGCAUCUAAGCGGGAAGCGAGCCCUGAGAUGAGUCUUCCCUGAUACUUUAAGUAUCCUAAAGGGUUGUCGGAGACUACGACGUUGAUAGGUCAGGUGUGUAAGUGCUGUGAGGCAUUGAGCUAACUGAUACUAAUUGCCCGUGAGGCUUAACCAUACAACACCCAAGGGGUUU